GGAUUCCCCUAGUAACUGCGAGUGAAGCGGGAAGAGCUCAAAUUUAAAAUCUGGCAGUCUUUUGGCUGUCCGAGUUGUAGUCUGGAGAAGUGUUUUCCGCGCUGGGCCGUGUAUAAGUCUCUUGGAACAGAGCGUCAUAGAGGGUGAGAAUCCCGUCUUUGACACGGACUACCAGUGCUUUGUGAUGCACUCUCAAAGAGUCGAGUUGUUUGGGAAUGCAGCUCAAAAUGGGUGGUAAAUUCCAUCUAAAGCUAAAUAUUGGCGAGAGACCGAUAGCGAACAAGUACCGUGAGGGAAAGAUGCUUU
rnacentral:rRNA from 1 species